AUUGAACGCUGGCGGAAUGCUUUACACAUGCAAGUCGAACGGCAGCACGGGUGCUUGCACCUGGUGGCGAGUGGCGAACGGGUGAGUAAUGCACCGGAACGUAUCCAAUAAUGGGGGAUAACGCACCGAAAGGUGUGCUAAUACCGCAUACGCCCUGAGGGGGAAAGCGGGGGGAUCGUAAGACCUCGCGUUAAUGGAGCGGCCGAUGCCGGAUUAGCUAGUUGGUGAGGUAAAGGCUCACCAAGGCGACGAUCCGUAGCUGGUCCUGAGAGGACGACAGCCACACGUAGGAACUGAGAC
rnacentral:rRNA from 1 species